CUGAAACAUCUAAGUACCCCGAGGAAAAGAAAUCAACCGAGAUUCCCCCAGUAGCGGCGAGCGAACGGGGAGCAGCCCAGAGCCUGAAUCAGUGUGUGUGUUAGUGGAAGCGUCUGGAAAGGCGCGCGAUACAGGGUGACAGCCCCGUACACAAAAAUGCACAUGCUGUGAGCUCGAUGAGUAGGGCGGGACACGUGGUAUCCUGUCUGAAUAUGGGGGGACCAUCCUCCAAGGCUAAAUACUCCUGACUGACCGAUAGUGAACCAGUACCGUGAGGGAAAGGCGAAAAGAACCCCGGCGAGGGGAGUGAAAAAGAACCUGAAACCGUGUACGUACAAGCAGUGGGAGCCUCUUUAUGGGGUGACUGCGUACCUUUUGUAUAAUGGGUCAGCGACUUAUAUUCUGUAGCAAGGUUAACCGAAUAGGGGAGCCGAAGGGAAACCGAGUCUUAACUGGGCGUUAAGUUGCAGGGUAUAGACCCGAAACCCGGUGAUCUAGCCAUGGGCAGGUUGAAGGUUGGGUAACACUAACUGGAGGACCGAACCGACUAAUGUUGAAAAAUUAGCGGAUGACUUGUGGCUGGGGGUGAAAGGCCAAUCAAACCGGGAGAUAGCUGGUUCUCCCCGAAAGCUAUUUAGGUAGCGCCUCGUGAAUUCAUCUCCGGGGGUAGAGCACUGUUUCGGCAAGGGGGUCAUCCCGACUUACCAACCCGAUGCAAACUGCGAAUACCGGAGAAUGUUAUCACGGGAGACACACGGCGGGUGCUAACGUCCGUCGUGAAGAGGGAAACAACCCAGACCGCCAGCUAAGGUCCCAAAGUCAUGGUUAAGUGGGAAACGAUGUGGGAAGGCCCAGACAGCCAGGAUGUUGGCUUAGAAGCAGCCAUCAUUUAAAGAAAGCGUAAUAGCUCACUGGUCGAGUCGGCCUGCGCGGAAGAUGUAACGGGGCUAAACCAUG
rnacentral:rRNA from 1 species